AUAUAACACUUUUAGAAAAAGGAUUUAGUAAGUUUUACCCUUAUCACAACGACCUUUUCUUCGUUAUUUCUACUCCAUACAAUGGGACAAAAAUUCACGACAGCGGUUAGUAGUAUGGCGGAAGUCGUUUAUGAUCUGAACUGGUAUGAAGCAGAUAUGUCAACACGGAAAGAUAUUGUAAACUUAUUGUGUUUUACACAAAAGGGGUUCGCUAUUGAAUUACCUAUAUUCGGUGAAAUGUCGCAUGCAGCAGUAGCAAAAGAAUACAAGAAAGUUUACCUUUUUUAUAAUUAAGUCUUACACGAGACAGAUACGUUUAGA